UACGUAGGGGGCAAGCGUUAUCCGGAUUUACUGGGUGUAAAGGGAGCGUAGACGGCGAUGCAAGCCAGAUGUGGAAGCCCGGGGCUCAACCCCGGGACUGUAUUUGGAACUGUAUAGCUAGAGUGUCGGAGAGGCAGGCGGAAUUCCUAGUGUAGCGGUGAAAUGCGUAGAUAUUAGGAGGAACACCAGUGGCGAAGGCGGCCUGCUGGACGAUGUCUGACGUUGAGGCUCGAAAGCGUGGGGAGCAAACAGG
rnacentral:rRNA from 1 species